UACGUGGGGUGCAAGCGUUGUUCGGAAUUACUGGGCGUAAAGCGUGUGUAGGCGGCUCGCUAAGUCUGGUGUGAAAUCCCCAAGCUUAACUUGGGAACUGCAUCGGAAACUGGCGAGCUUGAGUUCGGGAGAGGGUGGUGGAAUUCCUGGUGUAGAGGUGAAAUGCGUAGAGAUGUGGAGGAACACCGAUGGCGAAGGCAGCCCCCUGGGUCAACACUGACGCUCAUGCACGAAAGCGUGGGGAGCAAACAGG
rnacentral:rRNA from 1 species